rnacentral:rRNA from 1 species
UACGUAGGGUGCAGGCGUUAAUCGGAAUUACUGGGCGUAAAGCGUGCGCAGGCGGUUUGCUAAGACAGGUGUGAAAUCCCCGGGCUUAACCUGGGAACUGCGCUUGUUACUGGCAGGCUUGAGUGUGGCAGAGGGGGGUGGAAUUCCACGUGUAGCAGUGAAAUGCGUAGAGAUGUGGAGGAACACCGAUGGCGAAGGCAGCCCCCUGGGCUAACACUGACGCUGAGGAGCGAAAGCCAGGGGAGCAAACGGG